GUGGGGAAUCUUCCGCAAUGGACGAAAGUCUGACGGAGCAACGCCGCGUGAGUGAUGAAGGUCUUCGGAUUGUAAAGCUCUGUUAAUCGGGACGAAAGAGCCUAGUGUGAAUAAUGCUAGGAAGUGACGGUACCGGAAUAGAAAGCCACGGCUAACUACGUGCCAGCAGCCGCGGUAAUACGUAGGUGGCAAGCGUUGUCCGGAAUUAUUGGGCGUAAAGCGCGCGCAGGCGGAUCUGCCAGUCUGUCUUAAAAGUUCGGGGCUUAACACCGUGAUGGGAUGGAAACUACAGAUCUAGAGUAUCGGAGAGGAAAGUGGAAUUCCUAGUGUAGCGGUGAAAUGCGUAGAUAUUAGGAAGAACACCAGUGGCGAAGGCGACUUUCUGGACGAAAACUGACGCUGAGGCGCGAAAGCCAGGGGAGCGAACGGGAUUAGAAACCCCUGUAGUCC
rnacentral:rRNA from 1 species